rnacentral:piRNA from 1 species
UCAGUGACAACAGAGACAAGAUGGGGACGC